rnacentral:rRNA from 1 species
AUGAAGGCCUUAUUCUGGAAUAUUAGGGGUUUUGGCGCUAGGGGGUGCCGGGACCAGCUAAAAGACCUUGUUCGUUCUGAGAAUAUUGAUAUCAUUGGCCUUGUUGAAACCCUGAAACCCUCCUUCUCCCCAAGUAAACUUUCUGUUGUUGCUGGGAUCGAUAGGUUUGAUUGGAAUUAUGUGGCUUCGUCUGGGCAUUCGGGUGGCAUCCUUAUUGGCACCAAAAGAGAUCUGUUUGAUUUUGUUGCGUUUGCCCACGGGAUUUUCUGGGCUAGUACAGUGGUAUCUCAUCGCUCCCUCAACUCGUUAUUGGAAAUCAUGGUGGUAUAUGGUCCGGCUGACCACUCUCUUUCUUAUAUUUUCUUGGAUGAAUUGCGGAAUAAAAUUGAGUCAUGUGAUCUCCCUUUACUGAUUGGUGGCGACUUUAACCUGUUGCACUCUUCUAUGGAUAAAAGCUCGCCUAAUUUCUGUUAG